rnacentral:misc_RNA from 1 species
AAAGUCGUAACAAGGUUUCCGUAGGUGAACCUGCGGAAGGAUCAUUAAAGAAUUAGGACGUUCGCGGCCAAGUUUCUCACCCUUUGUAUACCGAAACCAUGUUGCUUUUGGCAGGCCCCUGCAUUUCUCGGGCCUGCCAGAGGUUUAUAAACCCUAGAAUCUCUUGCUGUCUGAGUACUAUUACAAUAGUUAAAA